UACGAAGGGGGCGAGCGUUGUUCGGAUUUACUGGGCGUAAAGGGCGCGCAGGCGGCUUUGUUUGUCAGGCGUGAAAGCCCCGGGCUUAACCUGGGAACUGCGUUUGAUACGGCAGGGCUAGAGUUCGGGAGAGGAGAGUGGAAUUCCCAGUGGUAGAGGUGAAAAUUCGUAGAUAUUGGGAAGAACACCGGUGGCGAAGGCGGCUCUCUGGACCGAUACUGACGCGAUGAGGCGCGAAAGCCGUGGGGAGCAACAGG
rnacentral:rRNA from 1 species